CAGCCGCCGCGGUAAUACGGAGGGUGCAAGCGUUAAUCGGAAUUACUGGGCGUAAAGCGCACGCAGGCGGUCUGACAAGUCAGAUGUGAAAUCCCCGGGCUUAACCUGGGAACUGCAUUUGAAACUGUCAGGCUGGAGUCUUGUAGAGGGGGGUGGAAUUCCAGGUGUAGCGGUGAAAUGCGUAGAGAUCUGGAGGAAUACCGGUGGCGAAGGCGGCCCCCUGGACCAUAACUGACGCUGAUGCACGAAAGCUAGGGGAGCAAACAGGAUUAGAUACCCGUGUAGUCCCUGUCUCUUAUAC
rnacentral:rRNA from 1 species